UGUCCGGUGAUGAAAAACCUGUUGAAUCAUACCAUCUUUCGGGACUGAUUGGUCGCUAUGCGUCCAUGCUGUCAUUCUGCAAUUCUGAGGACA
rfam:Triticum aestivum genome assembly, contig: Triticum_aestivum_CS42_TGACv1_scaffold_542951_6DS